rnacentral:tRNA from 2 species
GGCGCCUUCGUCUAGGGGUUAGGACGUGUGGUUCUCAGCCAUAAAACACGGGUUCGAAUCCCGUAGGCGCUGCCA